GGUUGGGGUUUCAGCGCGCGCGGCUGGGGUUUCUGGUCGGGGGUUGCGCGCGGCUGAGGGGUCUGGUCGGGGUUUCGCGCACGCUGUUGGGAGGUCCGGUCGGUCAGGGGGUUCCGUGCGCGGCUAAGGGGUCCAGUCGGAGGUUUUGCUCGCGGCUGACGGGGUCGGUCAGGGGUUGCGCGCACAACUGAGGGGGUUCGGUGGGGGGUUUCCGCACGGCAGAGGGGUUCCGGUCAGGGGGUUUCGCGCGGCGGAGUUUUCCAGACAUGCAUGCACUCUGAGAACAUGGCCAACGGAGGGAGUCGACCAAGAACAAUAACAGGGAUAAGAACCGUUGCUUCUGCAAGCAACAAAGAGAAAAAUUUAAGAACGAACGCAGCCUACAGAUUUACUCCAACGAGGAUUUCUUGUAAGCACCGUUGCUUACAACUAAGAUACGGAACAGGCACCUCCCGCUGGAGGUGCUCUUAGUUGGAAUGGCCGACAGGAUCAUGCUUUUGAAAUUCUAACCACAGAUCUCAACCUUUUCCAAUGCUCCUUUCUUUCCCUUGUGCUGCAACUUUAAAAGGUUUUGAAACCUGGAGAAGAAUGGCUCAGCCAUUCUAAAGCGCUCAGCGGAAUCAGGUCAGAGAACUUCCCAAACUCAAGGCGCUCAGCCACUUCAAAGCGCCCAGCGGAUUGGCCUUGGAGGAGAAGGAGUGCUCUCUGCCUUCAAUCCGCUCAGCCAUUCCCAUCCGCUCAGCGGAUUUCAUCCAGGAACAAGGGGUGCUCUCUGCCUCUAAGGCGCUCAGCGGAUCUCAGGCGCUCAGCCCUUGAGGUUUCUCCAUGGUGAAGAACUCCCAAUCUGCUCAGCCGUUUCAAGGUGCUGAGCGGAUUCUUCUCUUUCCUGCCUACUCUGUUUUAAUUCUAGCAAUUAUAAAAGGGCAGGGGGGAGAGAAAAGGAGGGGGGAGACGAAAACAAAGAGAAAAACAAGAGCUGGGAGCACAGGAGGAAGAAAGAACAGAGUGGGAACGAAGAUUUGGAGGCUGGAUCACUUGGGAACGAGGAUCAACUCCUUUUCUUCAUCUCUUCCUUUGUAAUUUCUUCUUCCACUCCUUUGAUCUUGUAAAUGGCCAUGAGGGGCUAAAUCUUUGAGGAUUGGUCUAGAUGUAACUACUAACUCUUCUUCUUCUUAAAUAUAUAUAUGCAUUUCAUUUUCAUUA